rnacentral:rRNA from 1 species
CCUACGGGAGGCAGCAGUGGGGAAUAUUGCACAAUGGGGGAAACCCUGAUGCAGCGACGCCGCGUGAGUGAAGAAGGAUUUCGGUAUGUAAAGCUCUAUCAGCAGGGAAGAAAAUGACGGUACCUGAGCAAGAAGCCCCGGCUAACUACGUGCCAGCAGCCGCGGUAAUACGGAGGGGGCAAGCGUUAUCCGGAUUUACUGGGGGUAAAGGGAGCGUAGACGGUUUUUCAAGUCAGAAGUGAAAGCCCGGGGCUCAACUCCGGGACUGCUUUUGAAACUGUGUGACUGGAGUGCAGGAGAGGUAGGCGGACUUCCUGGUGUAGCGGUGAACUGCGUCGAUAUCAGGAGGAACCCCAGUGGCGACGGCGGCUUACUGGACUGUAACUGACGUUGAGGCUCGAAAGCGUGGGGAGCACACAGGAUUAGAUACCCUUGUAGUC